AUUGAACGCUGGCGGCAGGCCUAACACAUGCAAGUCGAGCGGAUGAAGGGAGCUUGCUCCUGGAUUCAGCGGCGGACGGGUGAGUAAUGCCUAGGAAUCUGCCUGGUAGUGGGGGAUAACGUCCGGAAACGGGUGCUAAUACCGCAUACGUCCUGAGGGAGAAAGUGGGGGAUAUUCGGACCUCACGCUAUCAGAUGAGACUAGGUCGGAUUAGCUAGUUGGUGGGGUAAAGGCCUACCAAGGCGACGAUCCGUAACUGGUCUGAGAGGAUGAUCAGUCACACUAGAACUGUGAAACGCUCCGGACUCCUACGGGAGGCAGCAGUCGGGAAUAUUGGACGAUGGGCGAAAACCUGAUCCAGCCAUGCCGCGUGUGUGAAGAAGGUGUUCGGAUUGUAAAGCACUUUAAGUUGGGAGGAAGGGCAGUAAGUUAAUACCUUGCUGUUUUGACGUUACCAACAGAAUAAGCACCGGCUAACUUCGUG
rnacentral:rRNA from 1 species